CUGUAUGUUUUUUAUACAACCCAUCGUUAUUAGCUGGUACGCGCUGCCGUAUAGUGAAAAAAACAUGCUGCGCUUGCAUCGUCUGCGUUUACUUACUAAAACUUAUGGGUAGUAUGUACGCCGGCUGAUUUCCUAUCGUUUGGGAA
rnacentral:sRNA from 1 species